rnacentral:rRNA from 1 species
GAAUCUGGAGACAGGUGCUGCAUGGCUGUCGUCAGCUCGUGUCGUGAGAUGUUGGGUUAAGUCCCGCAACGAGCGCAACCCUUGCCUUUAGUUGCCAGCAGUUCGGCUGGGCACUCUAAAGGGACUGCCGGUGUUAAACCGGAGGAAGGUGGGGAUGACGUCAAGUCCUCAUGGCCUUUAUGACCAGGGCUACACACGUACUACAAUGGCCGAUACAAAGGGCAGCGACACUGCGAGGUGAAGCCAAUCCCGUAAAAUCGGUCUCAGUCCGGAUUGGAGUCUGCAACUCGACUCCAUGAAGUUGGAAUCGCUAGUAAUCGUGGAUCAGCAUGCCACGGUGAAGUACGUUCCCGGGCCUU